rnacentral:rRNA from 1 species
CUCAUAUUGAAACCUAGUGAUUUAUGAGUUAGUGGCGGACGGGUGAGUAACGCGUGGAAAACCUGCCGUAUACCGGGGGAUAACACUUAGAAAUAGGUGCUAAUACCGCAUAAGCGCACAGCUUCGCAUGAAGCAGUGUGAAAAACUCCGGUGGUAUACGAUGGUUCCGCGUCUGAUUAGCUAGUUGGCGGGGUAACGGCCCACCAAGGCAGCGAUCAGUAGCCGGCCUGAGAGGGUGAACGGCCACAUUGGGACUGAGACACGGCCCAAACUCCUACGGGAGGCAGCAGUGGGGAAUAUUGCACAAUGGGGGAAACCCUGAUGCAGCGACGCCGCGUGAGUGAAGAAGUAUUUCGGUACGUAAAGCUCUAUCAGCAGGGAAGAAAAUGACGGUACCUGACUAAGAAGCCCCGGCUAACUACGUGCCAGCAGCCGCGGUAAUACGUAGGGGGCAAGCGUUAUCCGGAUUUACUGGGUGUAAAGGGAGUGUAGACGGCAGCGCAAGUCUGGAGUGAAAUGCCGGGGCUCAACCCCGGAACUGCUUUGGAAACUGUGCAGCUUGAGUGCGGGAGAGGUAAGUGGAAUUCCUAGUGUAGCGGUGAAAUGCGUAGAUAUUAGGAGGAACACCAGUGGCGAAGGCGGCUUACUGGACCGUAACUGACGUUGAGGCUCGAAAGCGUGGGGAGCAAACAGGAUUAGAUACCCUGGUAGUCCACGCCGUANACGAUGAUUACUAGGUGUCGGGGGACCAAGGUCNUCCGGUGCCGGCGCAAACGCAUUAAGUAAUCCACCUGGGGAGUACGUUCGCAAGAAUG